rnacentral:rRNA from 1 species
UACGUAGGGGGCAAGCGUUGUCCGGAAUCAUUGGGCGUAAAGCGCGUGUAGGCGGCUGAGUAAGUCUGCUCUGAAAGCCCGGGGCUCAACCCCGGGAGGCGGGUGGAUACUGCUCAGCUCGAGUCCGGAAGAGGAGUGUGGAAUUCCUGGUGUAGCGGUGAAAUGCGCAGAUAUCAGGAGGAACACCAAUGGCGAAGGCAGCACUCUGGGGGCGGUACUGACGCUGAGACGCGAAAAGCGUGGGGGAGCAAACAGG